rnacentral:rRNA from 1 species
UGGGGAAUCUUGCGCAAUGGCCGAAAGGCUGACGCAGCGACGCCGCGUGUGGGAGGAAGCCCUUCGGGGUGUAAACCACUGUUGCCCGGGACGAAUAGCCCCUUCAUGGGGCCUGACGGUACCGGGUGAGGAAGCACCGGCUAACUCCGUGCCAGCAGCCGCGGUAAUACGGAGGGUGCGAGCGUUGUCCGGAAUCACUGGGCGUAAAGGGCGCGUAGGUGGCUUGGCAAGCGUGUGGUGAAAGCCCGGGGCUCAACCCCGGGUCUGCCGUGCGAACUGCUAUGGCUUGAGCACUGUAGAGGCAGGUAGAAUUCCGGGUGUAGCGGUGGAAUGCGUAGAGAUCCGGAAGAAUACCGGUGGCGAAGGCGGCCUGCUGGGCAGUGGCUGACACUGAGGCGCGACAGCGUGGGGAGCAAACAGG